rnacentral:rRNA from 1 species
AGUGAACGCUGGCGGCGUGCUUAACACAUGCAAGUCGAACGAGAACGGAUUAUAGCUUGCUAUAAUUGUCAGCUAAGCGGCGCACGGGUGAGUAAUGUAUAGGUAAUAUGCCUCUUACUAAGGGAUAACAAAUGGAAACGUUUGCUAAUACCUUAUACUCCUUAUUAACAGAAGUUAAUAAGGGAAAGAUUUAUUGGUAAGAGAUUAGCCUGUAUUGUAUCAGUUAGUUGGUGGGGUAAUGGCUUACCAAGACUAUGACACAUAACUGGUUUGAGAGGAUGAUCAGGCACACUGGAACUGAGACACGGUCCAGACUCCUACGGGAGGCAGCAGUGGGGAAUAUUGCACAAUGGACGAAAGUCUGAUGCAGCAACGCCGCGUGGAGGAUGACACAUUUCGGUGCGUAAACUCCUUUUAUAUGAGAAGAUAAUGACGGUAUUAUAUGAAUAAGCACCGGCUAACUCCGUGCCAGCAGCCGCGGUAA